rnacentral:rRNA from 1 species
CCUACGGGUGACAGCAGUGAGGAAUAUUGGUCAAUGGCCGGAAGGCUGAACCAGCCAUGCCGCGUGAAGGUCAGUGCCCUAUGGGCGUUAAACUUCUUUUGUGCGGGAGCAAUAAUGGUCACGUGUGGCCAGACGAGAGUACCGUACGAAUAAGCAUCGGCUAACUCCGUGCCAGCAGCCGCGGUAAUACGGGGGAGGCAAGCGUUAUCCGGAUUUAUUUGGUUUAAAGGGUGCGUAGGCUGUGAGGUAAGUCAGCGGUGAAAUGCCCCCGGUCAACGGGGUGAAGUGCCAUUGAUACUGCCUUGCUUGAGUGCGGAAGCCGUGGGAGGAAUGUGUGGUGUAGCGGUGAAAUGCAUAGAUAUCACACAGAACACCGAUUGCGAAGGCAUCUCACGAAUCCGCGAUUGACGCUGAUGCACGAAAGCGUGGGUAUCAAACAGGAUUAGAUACCCGAGUAGUC